rnacentral:rRNA from 1 species
UACAGAGGGUGCGAGCGUUGUCCGGAAUCACUGGGCGUAAAGGGUGCGCAGGCGGCCAAGUGUGUUAGGCGUGAAAGCCCGGGGCUUAACCCCGGAAUUGCACCUAAAACUACAUGGCUAGAGCAUUGGAGAGGGUAGCGGAAUUCACGGUGUAGCAGUGAAAUGCGUAGAGAUCCGGAAGAACACCGGUGGCGAAGGCGGCCCGCUGGGCAGGAAGACCCCGUAAGGGGUCGGCUGACGCUGAGGCGCGACAGCGUGGGGAGCAAACAGG